CAUUAUGAAGCUUGCACAGCAUUAGCCUUUUAAGCUAAAGAAGGGAUUACCUAGAAUCCCCAUAAUGA
rnacentral:tRNA from 1 species